CACGGGGGGAGCAAGCGUUGUUCGGAAUUACUGGGCGUAAAGGGCGUGUAGGCGGUCGAGUAAGUGGGAUGUGAAAUGCUCCGGCUCACCCGGGAGACCGGCAUCUCAAACUGCUCGGCUCGAGUAUGGGAGAGGAUGAGGGAAUUCCUGGUGUAGCGGUGAAAUGCGUAGAUAUCAGGAGGAACACCGGUGGCGAAAGCGCUCAUCUGGCCCAAUACUGACGCUGAGGCGCGAAAGCUAGGGGAGCAAACGGG
rnacentral:rRNA from 1 species